GAUGAACGCUGGCGGCGUGCCUAAUACAUGCCAGUCGAGCGAACGGACGAGAAGCUUGCUUCUCUGAUGUUAGCGGCGGACGGGUGAGUAACACGUGGAUAACCUACCUAUAAGACUGGGAUAACUUCGGGAAACCGUAGCUAAUACCGGAUAAUAUUUUGAACCGCAUGGUUCAAAAGUGAAAGACGGUCUUGCUGUCACUUAUAGAUGGAUCCGCGCUGCAUUAGCUAGUUGGUAAGGUAACGGCUUACCAAGGCAACGAUGCAUAGCCGACCUGAGAGAGUGAUAGGCCACACGGGAACUGAGACACGGUCAAGACUCCUACGGGAGGCAGCAGUAGGGAAUCUGACGCAAUGGGCGAAAGCCUGACGGAGCAACGCCGCGUGAGUGAUGAAGGUCUUCGGAUCGUAAAACUCUGUUAUUAGGGAAGAACAUAUGUGUAAGUAACUGUGCACAUAUUGACGGUACCGAAUCAGAAAGCCACGGCUAACUACGUG
rnacentral:rRNA from 1 species